GGAGGAGUCCGUGGGGAAAGGUUUAAGCUCUUCAGCUUCUCACAUGCUUCUGGAGGAGCAAGGACUUGGGCUGGAGGCACAGGCUCUGGAGGCAGCGGGCCUCUUAUCAUUCAUCUUGCACACAACCCUCCCCUCCCAUAAAAUCAGAAGGACUAAAGUGCAGCCCCACGUGAAACGCUGAUGAGCCUGUUCUCUGCUCGCAGCAACGGAACCGGAUUUCCUAGCAAGACCCAUUCCUGCAGAAUCGUCAGGAAUUUCCUUUCAGGAAAUGAGAGGACUUGCUCCCAUCAACAUUGCCCUUGGAAAUCUGAAAGGGCAGAUGAGGAAAGGCCAAGAGAAGGAUCCCUGCUGAACCUCAAGGCAAGGUUUCUCAUGUUGGUUUUCGCUAACAUAUUUCUUGACUAGGAGCUCAGCUGCUGAAAUACGCUGUGAAUGCCUACCUGACAGGCUUUCUGUCAUGGCCUCACUUCUCACUAACCUCCUUAAAGGAUCUGAAAUUCUUUAGUUUAUUUGUACCAACAGUUAAUGGCACAGAAUACCUGUUGCUGACUUAAAACCACAACAGAGAUACACCUUGUAAAAAAACACCAGUUACAAAUUGGAUCAGAUUACUUAAGCUAUGGGAAUAAUUCCUGCAGAAUCAAGAAGAAAUAAAUAAGCAACAAAGAAGCCUUAUUUAUCAGUGUCUGAAUUUGUCACCUUCAUUAUCUGCUGAAUGGUGGGAAUACUUGAUGUCAAUGGGACGUUCCACUGAGCCAUAGAAACUGUCUGCAUCAGAACCAGAGUCACUGCAAAAGAAAAGACACAGUUACUUCUGUUUAGCAGGACUGCAGCACUGGAAAGGAAUGCUGGAAAAGCAGAAGCAAUCUGUUCCUGUUUCCCAAUUAACAGUCAGAUAUGUUGUUGCUGUCUUUUAAAAGAUUUCAUUUCUUUUACACAAAGCUGACAUUGAAAGUGCUCUUUGUUUAAAGAUUUGGGUUUUUCUUCAUAUUCUUUAAAGUAUAAAUUGGGAAGGGAUUUUCCUCUUGGGUCUUACUUCACAUGUUCGUACUUAACAGGAAGCUACUUGUAGGUGCAAAAAGCCUAAAACACCACUGUAAGAGCUAGUGCAAAAGGGAUAAAAAAGUCAAUAAAGAAUGAACAGAUUUAUA